rnacentral:piRNA from 6 species
GAUAGCUCAGUCGGUAGAGCAUCAGACUUU